UACGAAGGGGGCUAGCGUUGCUCGGAAUCACUGGGCGUAAAGGGUGCGUAGGCGGGUCUUAAGUCAGGGGUGAAAUCCUGGAGCUCAACUCCAGAACUGCCUUUGAUACUGAAGAUCUUGAGUUCGGGAGAGGUGAGUGGAACUGCGAGUGUAGAGGUGAAAUUCGUAGAUAUUCGGAAGAACACCAGUGGCGAAGGCGGCUCACUGGACCGGCAUUGACGCUGAGGUGCGAAAGCGUGGGGAGCAAACAGG
rnacentral:rRNA from 1 species